UGGGGAAUUUUGGACAAUGGGCGCAAGCCUGAUCCAGCCAUGCCGCGUGCGGGAAGAAGGCCUUCGGGUUGUAAACCGCUUUUGUCAGGGAAGAAAUCUUCUGAGUUAAUACCUCGGGAGGAUGACGGUACCUGAAGAAUAAGCACCGGCUAACUACGUGCCAGCAGCCGCGGUAAUACGUAGGGUGCAAGCGUUAAUCGGAAUUACUGGGCGUAAAGCGUGCGCAGGCGGUUUUGUAAGACAGAGGUGAAAUCCCCGGGCUCAACCUGGGAACUGCCUUUGUGACUGCAAGGCUUGAGUGCGGCAGAGGGGGAUGGAAUUCCGCGUGUAGCGUGAAAUGCGUAGAUAUGCGGAGGAACACCGAUGGCGAAGGCAAUCCCCUGGGCCUGCACUGACGCUCAUGCACGAAAGCGUGGGGAGCAAACAGAUUAGAUACCCUGGUAGUCCACGCCCU
rnacentral:rRNA from 1 species